UCAUGACUAUUAUCCCUCCACUAUACGGUAUACACCUACAUGCACGCGCACCCUCCCACUCCUCAUGACGACCGCUGGAGGCUGAGUUCCCUCUUAGAGCUGGAGUCACAAAAGAAGAAGAAGCAGUAGACGCCAACACACCCAGCCGUUCAUGCCCAGGGAGGCAGAGAGGGGGAGAGUGGGGGAAUUAAGAGGGAGUGGGAAAAUGAGUGGCAUCAGUUGAUUAUGUAAACAGAACACAGUUUAGUGGGUUGUCACAAGGGAAGCUUAGACACAAGGUGAUGACUAUUGACUGACUGUGAAGGCUGCAGGCUUCAGAAAAACCUUCGAUGCCUCCGUGCCAGCACAGAAGACAGUGAUUUUUGUCUGUAUUUAGGAUGUGACCCACUAGAUCUUCAAAUAUCUCACAAGAUCAUCAUGUCAUUUUGGAUUAGUCAAUCAAAGGUUUGGGGGAAAAUAGUCCGACUAACAGCACAACUCUGACCCUUGUGCUAAAAAAGAUGAACAAGUGGAACUAUUAAUGGAAGCUUCAUGUCAUGUUUUUUUCUCAUUUAUCUCUGGGAAAUUCCCCCUUCAGUGAUCUGUUUUUCUCUCUUUUCUUACAGUCCGUGUGGAGUUUUGUUUUGGGAAAAUUAAAUGCUUCACAACAUUUCCUCAUGGAGAGUGCGUACAUCCCUGUCUUAUCACAGGUAGUCAAACAAAGCACACACACACACACACAUACAGCUGGUCUGCUUGUGUUCUCCUUCUCAGAUCAGCAUGUGUGAGCACGAGCAGUCAAUAACUCUUAAAAGCAGCCAAAUUGCAAAAUCAAUAAUUUAUGAGUUAUCUUUGUUUUUUUAGCUAAUUACCUCCUGAACAUCAAUAUAAACAUCACAUUAAAUUUUAAAAAUCUUUGACAAACGCCUUUACAAACAUUUACAGUCCUGCCGACCAGAAUUCACACAUUUUGUUGUCAACACUUUUGCCCUCACAUGCACAUAUUACACAUAUUAUUUUCAGCUAAAAUGUUUUUAAACUGCCAACCAGACUAAUUUAUCACUCUGGGCUUCACAGAUGGUCUGGCUGAAGAAACGACUUCACAGCGUUGGUGGCAUUUUUGAGGUAGGAGGCGGUGAGCAGCCCUUGCACUGGUAAUAACACGUUUUAAUUUAAGGUCCUGUUCUGGUUAACAGCUCUGUAUUCUGUUGGUGAUGCCUUCACGAGGCAUUACUGGACGUAAACUGUACUUUAUCGACUUAAAGUGCUUCAAUAAGCAUCCGAAGAGGAUCUGUACUGAUUUUAAUCUGGCAACCAUAGAUGUGUGAACUAGUGGUGGUAAACAAGUCUGAUCUUGUUGUGCUGUGUAAUCAGAAAUGAUUAAUAAAUUUGGAAAAAAAAGGGACAAGUCCACACAUCAUUGGAGUAUUUAUUCACAUGAGGAGGUAAGUCUGGGCACGUUGGUGGAAUCCAGGCUGAUUUUGAAAAGAAAGUCAAAAAGAGCCAAAGUGAAAUCAUCUGUUCAGUGUGAGAUAAAGUCAAGGGGUUUCAUAUCCGAGGUCAAACACUUGUGGUUAUAUACAGACACCUACGUAAACAAUGGUGGAGGAGGAGGAGGAUGAUGAAGAUCUGCACACGAGAAAACCCAUUUAGUUUCUCCGAGUGUGUCGAAAGAUUUAUAGAAAAGGGUGCACUCCAUGCGUGGCAAAAACCAUAUUGUUGUUUCGAAUGUGGGAAGACAUUUACCCAGGACACGCGUUUGGAAAGACACGAGAGAUUUCACACCGGAGAAAAUGUUUACUUGCUCUGAAUGCAGAAAGAUUUUCCAAAGAAAUGCACCUGAAGAGACACGAAGAAAUUCAUAAAGGAGACGGCAGCUCCGUUAGGGGUAGGCAGUAGAAGACGUGGUAGAAAACAAUCUAACACACUGCAGUCGGUGUUUGUGUGUGUGUUACUUUGGGAGGGUAUUUUAAAAACAGCCCACAAUGCCCUGAGAGGAGACGUAAUAAUGUCAGCAGAUUAGAGCAGGACUUUGUUGCAGAUAAAAUUAUCUUCUGUCUCGUGAAGAAGAAAUAAAACACAGCACCUGAAUUGGUCAUGGCUGAAAAGUCAUCUUCAGGUCACUGUGACCGCCCAGCAUCAGCAUCAGCAGUGUUUUCUGUUGGUUUUUCAAAGCUGUUUUGAUGAUGUUUUACACUUUCUCACACAGGUUUUAUUUCCCAAGCACCUGACAUAAACUGCUAUGAAAUCAAGACCCUGAUCAUGACCAGUCUGUGGAGGUGGUGAAAAGAUGUGCAUGGUACGCAUUUAAAUUCAGUUUAGCGCUGAGAGGUGAAGCCAGGAUGGAGAUGGUGAUUAAACUGAAGAACCAUCUGAAGGUUGUGUUUGUGUAUUCCUGUGCCAAGGCAGAGAUUCUGUUAGACAAUGUGUCUUCCUGAGCUGCUGCCAGGUCAUGGUUGAAGGUCACAGGGGAGUUUACUUUCCACAGAAGCCUAGCACUGUGGCAGGGGAACCAUCAUCACUCCUACCGUGAGCCAGGCUAAUAUAAAUAACUCCUGACUACAGUUCUGCAAGACAUUUAAAGGCAUCCAUGUCGGACUGAGUUUGAAUAGUUACACAGAUGCCAGCUGUACAGCAGCUCCUGACUGUGCAGCAGCUCCCUGUAGAAAAGGAGGCACGUGUUCAUCCAUCUGACUCAGGCUGAAUUCACACCACACUGAUGCCACUCUGCAGCUCCAGCAUGGAGUCCAUCCAGCUGGGCCAGGAUCAGUCCCAUCUGCUUCCAGAGAGAGUCGUGGUUUCUCCUGGGUUUCAUCUGCUACCUUGCCCACUUCUCCUGUGUGCUGUGGAUCAUCCAGAGAGAAUGACUCCUUAACAAAAACAACAUAUAUCUCCCCCAGCAGUAAAGUAACCCUCCAGGUACCCGGCCCGGCCAGGAAGUAGGUGGUCUCCUGUGUGGCUCCUCCAUGAACACUGGGAAUCUGGACGUGCGGUCAGGAGACCGCACCUCACCAUUAUGAUAAAAAAAGUACAUAAAAUAAAUAUUAAUAUUUUCCACUGAUCCGUGUUAAAGAUGCAUUUUCAGUAUGACUCUACACAUGUCUGACAUUAGUAAAAUCGCCGAAUUUGAGUAUUUCGCAAUCAAAUAUAAGGCAGAAAUCCCAGGUGAGGCAGCGGCGAGCUUCAAUACAAACUGGGUCACAUGACACUUUCUCUUCCUCAGCAUAUCACCAAUAUGGACUUUACAGAAAUAUUUGUUAUACAGCAUGACUUUCUACAGUCUGUGUAAUGUCUUUAAUAGGUAAUUAACUUUAACUAAGUAAUUUCAAGUCCAGACUUUGGUUGGUUUUCACAUCACAGUGUCUUUAGG